rnacentral:rRNA from 1 species
GGGUGAGUAACACGUGGGUAACCUACCCAUCAGAGGGGGAUAAGCACUUGGAAACAGGUGCUAAUACCGCAUAACAGUUUAUGCCGCAUGGCAUAAGAGUGAAAGGCGCUUUCGGGUGUCGCUGAUGGAUGGACCCGCGGUGCAUUAGCUAGUUGGUGAGGUAACGGCUCACCAAGGCCACGAUGCAUAGCCGACCUGAGAGGGUGAUCGGCCACACUGGGACUGAGACACGGCCCAGACUCCUACGGGAGGCAGCAGUAGGGAAUCUUCGGCAAUGGACGAAAGUCUGACCGAGCAACGCCGCGUGAGUGAAGAAGGUUUUCGGAUCGUAAAACUCUGUUGUUAGAGAAGAACAAGGACGUUAGUAACUGAACGUCCCCUGACGGUAUCUAACCA